rnacentral:rRNA from 1 species
UACGAAGGGGGCUAGCGUUGUUCGGAGUUACUGGGCGUAAAGGGCGCGUAGGCGGCGCACCAAGUCAGGCGUGAAAGACCUGGGCUCAACCCGGGAAUUGCGCUUGAGACUGGUGUGCUUGAGUACGGGAGAGGAUAGUGGAAUUCCCAGUGUAGCGGUGAAAUGCGUAGAGAUCGGGAGGAACACCAGUGGCGAAGGCGGCUACCUGGACCAGCACUGACACUGAGGCACGAAAGCGUGGGGAGCAAACAGG